rnacentral:rRNA from 1 species
AUUGAACGCUGGCGGCAGGCCUAACACAUGCAAGUCGAACGGUAACAGGAAGCAGCUUGCUGCUUUGCUGACGAGUGGCGGACGGGUGAGUAAUGUCUGGGAAACUGCCCGAUGGAGGGGGAUAACUACUGGAAACGGUAGCUAAUACCGCAUAACGUCGCAAGACCAAAGAGGGGGACCUUCGGGCCUCUUGCCAUCGGAUGUGCCCAGAUGGGAUUAGCUUGUUGGUGAGGUAACGGCUCACCAAGGCGACGAUCCCUAGCUGGUCUGAGAGGAUGACCAGCCACACUGGAACGGAGACACGGUCCAGACUCCUACGGGAGGCAGCAGUGGGGAAUAUUGCACAAUGGGCGCAAGCCUGAUGCAGCCAUGCCGCGUGUAUGAAGAAGGCCUUCGGGUUGUAAAGUACUUUCAGCGGGGAGGAAGGUGUUGUGGCUAAUAACCGCAGCAAUUGACGUUACCCGCAGAAGAAGCACCGGCUAACUCCGUGCCAGCCGCCGCGGUAAUAC